CCCAAGCACUUAGGCUUCACUAUCUGCUCAGAAGUCAAACAGGGAGGACCUAUGGCAUGUAUGGGUCAAUUAUUGGUUCAGAAAUGCUGUUGGAAAAUUAAAGUUUUUAGACUUGAAUUUAGGGCAGAUAGCGCUGCAUUUUCCAUGUCAAAGCAUCAAGAACAUUACUGCUGAGAAUUGAGGCCUUCCUGAUGAUUUCCUGCCUUUAGUCACAGAUGUCAAACUAUGGGUUCCAAUUCUGGUUCUGAGUUUGGUUCCAAGUCUGGUUCCAACUGCCGUUCCAAUUGCCGUUCCAGUAGCCGUUCCGGUCCCAUUCCCGACUCCGGCUUUACCAUGAUUAUGACUGUCAAAUCCCACCAUGGACAAGACUUCUAAAGAGAGUCAGAGAGGGAAGACAGAUUCGUCGUCGAUUCGUCAGUAUCAAUGAACAUUGAACUGGAGUGAUUUUUCACCGCAUAUUAGUGGGCUACUUUGUAUGUUAUUUCAAAGAAUUGUAUAUGUUAUUUGUACUCUGAAACAAAGCCAUUGAAUUAUCGUUCUAGCCUGAAUACAGCUAGUUUUAAUAAAUUCUUUAAACUGUA